rnacentral:lncRNA from 1 species
GGCUUGUCUAUCCCUCACAGUACCAAAUGAUUCCCUGGUUAUGAUUCUGAAAGCAAGGAAUUUAAUGCUGACAUACAUCAGAAGAAUAUCACUGGUUAGAAUGCUGCAGAUUACAUGUGUUACCUAAUGAAAGAUGACAAAGCUGCUUAUAAGAAACAGUUCUCUCAAUACAUAAAGAACAACAUAACCCCAGACCUGAUGGAGGAGUUGUAUAAGAAAGCUCUUGCUGCUAUGUAAAAGAACCCAGUUUAUGAGAAGAAGCCCAAUAAAUAGGCUAAAAAGAAGAGGUGGAACCAUCCCAAAAUGUCUCUUGCCCAGAAGAAAAAUCAGGGACCUCAAAACAAGGCAGGCUUCCUCAGAGCCCAGGAGUGGGCUGCUGAGAGCUAA